AAAUAUUUUCAUUUUUUUUUGCAGAUUUGCAGACUUUUCCAGAUUUACAAAAGUAAACCCAUAUCCAAUCGACUGACUGCGGAUUUUUAAAAUUUCAGUUCAAUCCAAUCCACCAAUCUAAAUUUUUACGAAUUAGAUUUCCAUAGAUAAGAUGAAUUGAGUAGAUUUGGAUUCAAAACACCCCUAACCCAUAUUGCCAUCAUUGUUGAUUCGUCGCUUUACCUCUCAUCCAGUUCAUCGCGUCCUCACAGUCGUCAUCUAACCUUCGUGGUCGUUGGCUCUCAUUUGUUUUAAUCAUCACCGCCCACCUCUCGUCGUUGCUCAUUAUUGUUACCCAGGCAAGUAGGCAACUAUCAGCAGCCAUUCUUUUCAUUCAUAAUAAAGGUAAAAGAUAAGAACUGAACUAUGUGGAAUAGACAUUCAACUUUAUUUCUUUUAUGCAUGACUGGUUAUUUUCGGGUUAGAUUUGAAAUUUUUUUAACCUGACUUGACCGAUAUUUUUUUAUAAUAGGGUUUAGUUCAUUGGUAGGUAUUCUAUGUAUUCUCUUUUUCUGAUUUUAAUUCAUUUCCUUGAAAAAUCAACCAAACCUAAACUAAGAUCGAUCAACUUUGAUGAAUUUUCUAAACUAAUUCUCAAAUAGAAUCGGUACAAUUCAUUUUGGUUAAAUUGCUCAUCGGACCUAAUUUAACAUUAAUUUCCUUUGGGUAAAUAUUUUUAUGAUUAAAUUCAUGCAAAAAAGAACACCUACACCCCAACAUUUGGAGAAAUAUUAAUCAAGACCCCAAGUUUUCAAUAAGGGACACUAAGACCCCCUUUCCACCAUAAUACCAUUUGACUCUAUAAAUCGGAAAAAAUUAACUUCAAAAUUUUAUAAUAAAUAGAGACAUGACCUUAAGAUAAAUGUAAUAAUAUAU
rnacentral:lncRNA from 1 species